UAGCGGUGUGCCAGUGUUUUUCCCUUCCUGUCACAAGGCUAUCUGAAGAUCUUGGACCUGUUCCACACUUAAACUCCAAGCAUCUUUGUUGUCUAUCUGACCUUGCAAUAUGAUAGGCUGGAAACUUUUACUGUCUGGCUUUUUGUAAGGCUUGUUUCACAAUCUGGGCAAUGUAGAUUUCUCCGCUUCCCAUUUCCACUUCUGUAAUGUUUAUUAUAUUCAAUUGUACGUCUGGUUUGGUGUUCAUUUCUGCAGCUCCUGCCUACGUUUCAUGUAAUUCUUCAUCUUAUCUGCAAUUGGUAUCUGCACUCUCAAUCAGCUCAUCUCUUUUUAUUAGUAAUAGAUCCAGUCGGUUCAUACGUUUGCAUACGCUCUGGGAUGGUAAUGUCUUGCCUUGCCAGCAGACAGAGAUUUUAAGGCUGUGAUAACCUAUAUGCUUGUCUGAGGGAUGUGAAAAUAACGUUAUGAAUGUUGUUUACGAAAACUGGGUUUUGCACAGCUUCGGUAGUUUUCACGUACUGUAGUUGGCUGUCCUCAAAGAAGUGACAAGUAGAACUGACAGCAUUGCAAGCCCUUAGUUUACAUCUGAACAUAACUAAUCGAUCAUGAAAAUCCUCAGCAUUUUCUCUUGGUUACCUCUGUGUCGAUACCACUGCUAGGACAGUUUUCUUUAAAUUACUCUACACUUCUUAUGCUCCGUUUUUACCUCUGAUUAGACCUUGUUUCCCUUUCCUAAUUUUUUACUUCUACUGACCUUGCACUAUGCAUAAACAUUCUUCAUGAGGAAAUCAGUGAGAUAUUUGUAGUUAAUUUUUUAUGUCUUAGAUUUUGUGCCCGGUACAUAAUGAUCCAGUUACAUCUCAACUUGCGUGCUGCAACCCUGACUUUCCACUUCUUCUCUCUAUUGCCAACGAAGCAAGUUUAUUUUCUAAUAACUUGAAGUACCUCCUAUUAUCCUUAACUCUCUACAGAUGCUUCCCUCCUCCUUCCUGGUUAAUGCAAGUCUCUCUGCUUCCAAGGAUCCUCUGCCUAGGAUUGUGCCUGUCUCCUCCUGUGCCAUUUUCUGCUCCCAGAUGGAAGGAGACAGUGUGAGAACCCGACAGAUAAAUCUUUCAUGCGCCCUGCCUUUGCCUGUGGGCUGUACAUUCCCAUUUCUUCUGUGCACCCCCUGCAUAACUGCGCAGAAACGUGGUUUCAGCCGGAGCCAAGCACUCUUCCUCCAGCGGUUCGGUAUCAGUUCUCAUCUCUGACAGCCGAGAACCAGCAAUGUCACUGAGCAGCACCACUGCGGUGUCCAGAUGUUCACGACACCCAGAAGCUCCUCUGUGGUGCUGUAGAAAGGGGCCUUGCUAGAGGAGGUUGCUCCAGUUUCUUCUGCCAAAGGAUGACUGCAGUUGCGCUUGUCCUGCCAUCCACCUCUGUGGGCAACUCCUUGACCACUCCUGCUUCUCUACCCCUCCUGCUUCUCCUACCACCCAAGGGACUGUCCAUGGGCCCCAAGCAUUUCACAGCACAUUUCUCGUCUUCUACCACCCAACUCAUUCCAAAACUGUCUUGAGUUUUCCUAAGUACCAGUCACUAAGCAGUUAAAGCCUGAUUUGAGUGAAAAAAAAAUCUGAUGUCGGAUGGCUCCUCCAGUCCCACCGCCCACACCCUUCCGGUUGCAGACUGGAGUGAGUGGGAGCUGGCGAGGGCUUGGAGUGGAAGCAGCAGAAGAGGACUUCUGUGCUGCCAUGCCUGUGCAGCCUAUUGCCACCUAGUGCUGUGAACUUGGAAAAGCAAAAUUUUUUUCCUUCUCCUCAAGACCGAGACUGCUGCAACCCAGCCACCGAAGUGGUCAUGACUCAGAAGGUCCUCUUCUGUUGCAGCAGGACUUCUUAACCUACCUACUUCACCAUAUCCUACGCUCAUUAUAACCGAUUUAGGGCUCUUAACUUUGACGCUGCACUUUCUUGCGCUGCAGUUGGUGCUAAAUACCAUCACUGCUCUUUCUUAGUGCAGGGGUUUUAAAGGUCUGGUCCUACGGCAACGUGGCAUAUGCAAUUACACUUCAUACGGGUGGCUACCUGUCUGUACACCCUCCUUCCUAUCACUCUGUUUGCCGCGCAAACGCGAGUGGCAGAAGUCCCAAGGAUAAUUAAGUUUGUUCAAGCUUGAAAAAUAGUCAACCACAUGAAAGAAAAGCCUGCUAAGGGGAAGGUUGCAACAUAAGCCUGUAUGUUCAUCGGCAUCAGUGAGUAAGCGAGGGGGAAGGGCAGUAGUUACAGCAAAGACUUCAAGUGGUGCUUGCACCUUCCUCGGUGUCAAAGCUGACCACCCAUGCCCCCAAAAAGUAGGCUCUCUUGGUACCAGCUCACAGACUUCUUUGUAUUAACUGCUAUGUCUAAAUAUACACGAGCAGUGCUCUGAAUUUAGAGAGAUCAGGCACAUUUUUGCGUGUGCAUUUUUUUUUCCUUUGCUCCUGUGUUAAUUCCACCCCCCACCCCCCCCCGUACAACUCAUUACUGACUAUUAUCUUAGCUCCCGUUAAAUCUCUUUUAGAGGCUGGCAUUUUAACUUACCAGCUUGAGCUCUAGACUGUUGACACGUUACACUGCAGAAAGCAGUGAAAUUAUCAUGGACUGAGUUGGUUUUUUUUUAAGGCACCGCGUGAUGAGAAUAAAUCAUGUUGUCACUCUGACA
rnacentral:lncRNA from 1 species